AAAAGGAGGCGAGCGGUCCUCGUACAACACAACUCUCCUCUGGCUCAUCUGUGUGACAACAGAAGACUAGACAAGUGUAACCAUGCUGAAGGUAGCUCUGAUCCUGGGAUGUCUCCUGAGCCUUACAUUGGCUUCUCCUAAGGAGCACCAUCGUAAUGUGCGCUCUACCGAAGGAGACUCAGGAGAGUCAGGAGAGACUACAACCACAGCUGCAACCACCACUCUGUCACCUGCCCAGCUCCUUGUACUUCUCCAGAAUCUCCUAGCAGCAUCAGGGUGAAAAGAGAUGGAGAUGGAAGUCCCAGACAGUUGGGCUGAAGCUGUACUAAUGUGUGUGACAAAUAAAAAGCAAUAUUAAAAACAA